rnacentral:lncRNA from 1 species
CUAUAAUAUAAGAUGUACAGAAAGUAGACGAUACGCUAGGUUUCUUUUGAAAGAACCAACUUCUAACGAUGUAAACCGCGAACUUUGAUGAUUCUAUAGUUGUUGGCCCGAUAUUAUGGAUCGGAUUGAGUUCCAUUGUGUAAAUCCAGCUACCAAAAGUGUACAUGAAACAAUAAAAGGGAUAAAAAAAUUAGCAAUUAAUCAACAAUUACUAAAAUACAACAAUAAUACAUUAAAGAAAUAAGCACAAUCAUAUUUCAAACUAUCACAGGGAGGAAUUAGAAGUGUGUUUGACAACACACAUUCAAAAUAAGACACAGUAGCCAUUCUAAUGUGAUAAUAUAAAUAGCUAAAUGAAAUGCUAAGUUGUUUCGAAUUUCAACUCUAACCAAAAGUGGACAUUGUAUUGUAUUUUUUUAUAGCUAUUUGUACAAAUAAUUUUUACCUUAAAAUAAGAAUUUGAGAUGGAACCCAAAUUCAUAAAAUUAGUCCGUAGAUAAUGAGCAGGACACCUUGUGAUCAGGUUUGAAGUCAAUACAAAUCACAUCUUAGAGGAUCAAAAUCGAUAAAUAAAAGAACAAAUCAUAAUUAAAGGGAGGCUAAAUUUCUUUUACACUUUCGUAACUUGCGCACGACAAAUUUUAUUUGAGAGAGUUAAAAUUUACAUGUCAUUGUACAAUCCCCCUAAAAAAACUGCCAUGUAGAGUGACAAACUUACAACAAAAUGGAGUCCAUUCACGUACCUCAACUCAGCAAAGAACACUUAGGAAUACUAGAUGCAUGUCUUAAUAGAACAAUCACCCAAGAGUUUUAACAUUACACAUUUAGAUGUACAAUAAAAUUUGGGGUAAAUCAUAAUCUCAAAACUGAUUUUUGGGGAACAAACAACAAGACCGACAUAAAUUUAAAAGAAAAGACAUCGAUGGAACCACAGGGCUAAUUUUAAUUUUCAUAGCUUCUAAAAGAAAAUAAAAGCAAUAUCAUCAAAUCACUUACGAUCGAAUUUCGGAAUCAAAAUAAAGUACACCUGAAGGAGAAAACUCUCGUUUAGACCCAAUUCUCAGAAUAAAAGAAAGGCAACAUAAGAUUGAUAAAGAAAAUCAUAUUCAAAACCAAUUUUUUAGACCCAACAACUAGUUGAGCUUAAUUGAAAUCUACAACCAGACUCAUUUUCAGAAUCGACAACAACAACACAACUUCAUCAAAAUUAAACCGCAAAUGAUAUGAUCACCUUAUUAACACAUGACACAAUGUUUCAAAAUCAAAAGUUAGAUACAUUUGCAGACUCCCAGGAAAACAAUUGUGAUAACAUGAAUUUCGAGAGAACAACCACGUAUCCAAAAUAAAAUCGGAUUCAAACUCACUUUUGGGAGUCAAAACAUGCGAAAAAAUGGCUCACAUAUGCAAGCAUUCAUAUACGAAACUAAUUUUCAGCAUCACGCAUGCAAUAUGAGUUGAUUACGGAAAAAUCUCAUAACCAUGGAAGGAAAGUAAAACAAAAAAAAAGAAAAAAACAAGCAAAUAAAAAGAUUCACACCUUUUUUCAGGCAGCAAAAUUGAGGCUUCGACGGCUAGGAUUCUCCGUCGAUGGUAAACUCAGCUACAGAAAUUCAAAAUUGUCAAAAAUAGAAAGAAAACAGCAAACUUGGAAGUUUCUCGUCAAGUAUUCCAACCACCAAAGUCGAACUUCAAAAAUGAAACAGGGAUCGAAAGUAGGAAUGGAAAUUUGUGAUUUUAGUUUCUCUCCCUCUAUCCACCAAAUUUCGACCCCCAACCUCCUUUUUCACUCGCCCCUUAUUUUCUUUACUUUUCUCCUUUUUUCUCAAUUCCUUUUUCUGAUUUUCCUCUCUGACUUCAAGCUUUCUCACAAAUUUCUUUUCCUCUCAGACCACUUUUUUUCUCCAAUCUUAAACCUGUCCUUUGGAGAUGGAGAAGCUUUUAUUUGUAGGUACAAAUUCGAACUUGAAAGUUCGAAUUUGAAACCUCAAAAAUGAAAAAUGAUAAAAAGAUGAAUAUUUGAAUUUCAAAUCAAGAUUUCCUCAAAAUCGACUUUUCAGAGUCAUUAAUGGCGGAUUCAAAAUCAGCAACAGGUUGUGAUACCAUUUUAAGGACUGUUCUUUUAUGUCUUUAGGAUUCACAGUUUGGAGAUUAUCAAAGUGGGAGAGAAUCUCGCAUAGGGGGUGGCAGGCGGCGACCGACUAUGAGGGUUAGGCUUUCUGGUUUGGUGAUGGUGAAGGAGAGGGAAGAAGGAAAGAGGAAAGAUGGUACUCGAUUUUUUAUUUAUUUUGGGUAAUGUAUGACAACGAUGUAACCAGGGUAUGGAGAAAUGAAAAGCAUGCGUAUUAUUUUGGGGAAGAGAAAAUCAUUGAAAAAAGGAUGUGUAUUUGUUGCAUUAUUUGACUAAUUUGGUCCAUCCGAUCUUUUGAUCGGACGGCUAAAAACAAGCAUCC